UAAUUCAGUAGGUGUGAUUUCCACUACAGUUUUUGCAUUUGUUAUUAAUUUAUUAUCUUUGCUCAAAUUGUAUUUUUUGGAUUGCAUGUACAAGAAGCUUUCCCUGGUGUGAUUGUACCUUAGGUUCGACCCUUUUUGGUUGCUUCCCGAGACGCAGUGCUAGCAGGUCAAUCAUAACUGAAGUCAUGGAAAUUUUAUGAGUUGAAAAACGUUUUUGAUCAAAGCUUAAGAUUUGAUGAGAUCAUGGCUAGUUAAUAUUAGGAAGUACUGUAAGACUUGAAUGAUGAGAAUGACCACUUAUAGAUAUAAGGAAAAAUUGUGGCACUUACGGCAUUCAGAAACUUGCUUUCUUGACUUAUAGUGAUUAUUAUGGGACAAUUCAGGUACGGUGAUAGCAUAUUCCUUGUGCUGUUUGUGGAUUGCUCUAAAUAGCCUUGGUGCAAAGACUGCUGAAAACUCAUGUAAACAACUCAAGAAGCUAGUGACUCGUUGGAAUAAUGUGAAGACUCGGAAAACUGAUGAGGCGAGGAAAAAGAUCCAUUCCAGGUCAAAUGAGCCGUGGCAACUGGAACCAAUUCCUUUUGUAUUUUUCUGCAUGAAGAG